rfam:Ovis aries breed Texel chromosome 4, whole genome shotgun sequence.
UCCCUGGUGGCUGAAAUGGUAAAGAAUCUGCCUGCAAUGCAGAAGUCCUAGGUCCGAUCCCUGAGUCGGGAA